rnacentral:rRNA from 1 species
AUUGAACGCUGGCGGCAUGCCUUACACAUGCAAGUCGAACGGCAGCACGGACUUCGGUCUGGUGGCGAGUGGCGAACGGGUGAGUAAUGUAUCGGAACGUACCUUUCAGUGGGGAAUAACGUAGCGAAAGUUACGCUAAUACCGCAUAUUCUGUGAGCAGGAAAGCAGGGGAUCGAAAGACCUUGCGCUGAUUGAGCGGCCGAUAUCAGAUUAGCUAGUUGGUGGGGUAAAGGCCUACCAAGGCGACGAUCUGUAGCGGGUCUGAGAGGAUGAUCCGCCACACUGGAACUGAGACACGGUCCAGACUCCUACGGGAGGCAGCAGUGGGGAAUUUUGGACAAUGGGGGCAACCCUGAUCCAGCCAUGCCGCGUGAGUGAAGAAGGCCUUCGGGUUGUAAAGCUCUUUCGGCCGGGAAGAAAUCGCAUAGGCUAAUACCCUGUGUGGAUGACGGUACCGGAAUAAGAAGCACCGGCUAACUACGUG